UAUGAGAGUAUAGUAGUACAGCAGUAUAGUAUAGUAGUAUAACAGUAAAACAGUACAGCAGCACAGCAGUAUA